GAUGAACGCUAGCGACAGGCCUUACACAUGCAAGUCGAACGGUAACAGGGAGCUUGCUCCGCUGACGAGUGGCGAACGGGUGAGUAAUGUAUCGGAACGUACCAUUCAGUGGGGGAUAACGUAGCGAAAGUUACGCUAAUACCGCAUAUUCUGUGAGCAGGAAAGCAGGGGAUCGCAAGACCUUGCGCUGAUUGAGCGGCCGAUAUCAGAUUAGCUAGUUGGUGAGGUAAAGGCUCACCAAGGCGACGAUCUGUAGCGGGUCUGAGAGGAUGAUCCGCCACACUGGAACUGAGACACGGUCCAGACUCCUACGGGAGGCAGCAGUGGGGAAUUUUGGACAAUGGGGGCAACCCUGAUCCAGCCAUGCCGCGUGAGUGAAGAAGGCCUUCGGGUUGUAAAGCUCUUUCGGCCGGGAAAAAUCGCAUCAGUUAAUACCUAGGUGUGGAUGAUGGUACCGGAAUAAGAAGCACCGGCUAACUACGUGCC
rnacentral:rRNA from 1 species